rnacentral:miRNA from 1 species
AGGGCGAGGCAAAUGAUCAAA